GAUCCUUCCACGGGUGUGGGCGUCUGCAGCACCGGGGAUCCGUGGCACAACUCCUUCCUGCAGAGGCUGAAAGCUGAGCCUACAAUUUCAAGCAGGACAAUCACCUUCCCAAGGCAAUAACAAGCGCCUCCCAAGAGCAGCUGGUGAAGGCGGCUCAGAAGGGAUGUGGUGAAACGUUUGGUCCAUCCAUCGUGCUUCUGGACGUGCAGGAAUCUUCAAAAUCCUUUCCUCCUCCUCCUCAGGACUCUGGGGCUCCUCAUUCCGUAGAAGUGUGUGAGACAGAAAGGCCCUUUCCGUGGAGGGAUAACGGCACUGAAAGAUCUUUUUCGGGAAAAGCAGGACACUGGAACACGGAAGUAGCCUUCAGUUCCUGCAGCAGAUUUGGGACCCCAUGGAAGGAGGAGCAGAGCUGGCCCGGUGCCACAGCUGCGCAUGCAGUGGGGAUGGAGAAGCUGCCAUUGUCUGUCUUCUUGGCUGAGCCUUUAAAAACAAGGCACAUCUCUGUAGUGCCUUUUCCAGCCUGACAUAAAAGUUCCCCCUAGACGUCCAAAGGCAGCUGUUUUCUUAGCAGAAGGCGGUCAGGAAGAGGCAAAGCAGGCAAAGGCAUCAGCUAAGUCUGGCUAAAGGAGUUGGCUGAGGUGUUUCUCCCCCCUCCUAAGCAGCCAAUUUGGAAGCACUCUGCAGAGAUCUGUCUGCCUGGGAGGAGAAGCAGAGCCAACCACUGAAAAGUGGCACGUGAGCUCUGGUGAGGACUGCUGCUCCGCCUGCCUUGGUGUGGGAACUGCUGAGCUGCCAUUCCUGCCGCGGGAGUGUUUCUCCUCUCGUGCAGGCAAGGCAGAGACCUCCCAGGUAAGGAGCAGGUAAGGUUUAAGUGACGAGAUGUCCCAAGGAAGAAGUGACAUGACAAAAGGAAAUGGCCUCGAGUUGCACCAGGGAAGGCUUAGAUUGGAUUGUAGGAAACACUUCCUCACUGAAAGGGUGGUGAGGCAUUGGAGCAGGCUGCCCAGGGAAGUCCCCGUCCCUGGAGACAUGGAAAGGAUGUGUAGACGUGGUGUUUAGGGACCUGAUUUGGGGGUGGGGGGGGCUUGGCAGUGCUGGGGCAACGAGGGAGGCAGGGAGGGAGGGAGAAAA